GCAGGAAUCUGUCCCAUGAGAUUAUUGUGAGACAAAUUCAAGUAUCUCAGAGAAUUAAGAUUUCCUAUGGAAUCUGGAAUACUCCCAGAGAAUCUAUUGGAGGAUAAGUCAAUCGUUGUAAAGGUAUCCAACAAUCUCAGCAAUGUCUGAUCCAAGCCUUUCAAAGUGAACUUCAACACUAGAAAUCUUAGAAACGCGUCCUGAUCAUUUGUCGUGUUUUCCUUGGCAUUUAUCAUGCCCUGGAAAUUCUUGAAAUAUCUAUCAGGUAACGAGCCAGAAAAUGCAUUUCUCGAUAUAUCCAAGACUCGCAACUUGGGAAACGGAUGCUCGGCCUUUGAACCCAGCAACAUAUUACCAUCAAACUUGUUAGACCUCAAGACGAGGACGCGGAGUCUAGGGAGUGUUUCCAUCCAGAAGGGAAACACAUCUCGUAUUUCAUUGUCACCAAUGUCAAUGCUUCGAAUACCUUGGCAGUUGAUUAGGGAGUGAGGCAGUGCACCUUCCAAUUUAUUGCCAUUCAGAUUAAGUGACUGAAGACUACAUUCCUUUGUAAAUGUUGAUGGAACGAGGCCUGUGAUAAAAUUGUCACUCAAAUGCAGAACCUCCAAUGAUUUGCUGAAGUUGCCCAAGCACUCUGGAAUUGCUCCUUCCAAAUUGUUGUUUGAUAAAUGCAGAAAUUGAAGGGAUCUCAACUUGCAAAUAGAUGAUGGAAUUUCUCCAUUGAAUUUGUUGGAGUAGAAUAAAAGAAUAGCCAGCUCUGAUAGAUUUCCGAUGCUGGAAGGUAUUGGACCUGAAAAUUGUUUUAGGCAAGGAUGAUGAAAAUUCAAGAUUUUAUCUUUUAAAACUUAAAGAAUUUAUUUGAAAGAAUAUUGAAAUCAUACCACUUAAAUUAUUGUUGAAAAAGCCACAACUCACGAAUGGCUGUCAUGUUCUCAAUUUCUUUUGGAAUAUUACCUGCAAAUUUUUAAAAAGUCAACCAAAAUAUAAUUAAUUUAAUUUUAAGUAUAUAUUGACAUGUUAGCUACUAAUAGUAUAUUCCAAAAUGUAGAAUACAUAUUCAUAUAAUUCUUCAAAUUUUUGUGGAGAUUAUAUUGAAUGUACACAUACCUUGCAAAUAUGUAAAGAUACUAAAAAUGAAUAAAAUUUGUCAAAAUACAUAGUUUUGUGGAAUAGUUAAUUCCUCCACAAUUCAAGACAAGUAUACUGAACAAAAUUAAGUUUGAAAAUGCUGAACAAAAGUUUAGUAUGCUAUGUUUGUUUUGAUUUCUCCCAUUGUUUUCUAAAUAAUUUUCAUUUUGGACUUUUUAUCCUUUACACUUAUAAUUCUUUUCUAUCUUAUUACGUUUUUUAGUCUAGGUUAAUUAGUCAGAUAAUUACUGAUCAUCUAGCAUUUUGAAGUACUUUUAAGAUGUCAUGUAUAUUAUAAUUCAAAAAAAAAAGAUGUCAUGUACUAUAUUAAAAAAAAAAAAAAAAAUACUAAACACGGACAUACAUGAUGCUUCUAUCAAUAUGUGAUGUAUACUAUAGAUAUAUGACGAUUUAUAUAGCAAUGUCAUGUAUUUCAAACUUGAAACUUCAUAUACUAUUUCUUCAAAGCGUCACAUCUAUACCUAUUAUAAAGGCGCCUUGUUUUACAAAAUUUGAUAUACCAAUUAUAUCUCUUACAUAUACUUAAUUUAAGGUCAAUUGUGUAAUUUAAUAUAUUAAACAUAUAAUAAAUCUAAAAAUAUAUUAUGGUUUAAUUAUGUGUUAUAUUUUAGUAGUAAUUAUUUAAGUAGUGGUAUCCAUUAGAAUUCUUCAUCCACAUAUAUUAGUAUUUUUUAUUCUGUAAUUUAAUAAUUUAGAAUUAUAAUAGAAAUUAUUUAUUUAAUAUUUUUAUUAGAAGUUUAAUUUUGGUAGAAUCUUUAGAAUUAAAAUUAUUUAUGUUAAGAUGAAACCUAUAAAAUAAACAUGAAUUUCAUAUCAAUCUUGUUUUCUUUUUGGUCAUGCUUUUUUUUCUUUCUAAUGAUGACAAAAUUAGGUGAAGUUUAAUUAAUUAUUUAUUAAAAUAUUUUUUAAUGAAAAUAAAAGGUUUAUUUAUUAAAAUAAUUGCUUUUUACGUGCAAACACACAUCAUCUCUGUUAGUAUACAAAAAAGACACUCACAGAUGACGCUUUUUAAUAUACUCAAAAAAGAUGUACGUAAUAAAAAAAAUAUCAAGUAUGCUCAAUUUUCUAGCAGUGAUUUGAUUUAUUUAGAGAAGAUGUUGUCACCGUCAACGAAGAAUGUUAAAUUAUAGAAACACAAAAUAUGGUGGAAUAAGCAUUCCUUAUGACAGCACAUCCAAAUACAUUAGUGUUUAUAAGGGAGUAGAAAGAGGCAUAGUAUCGUACCGCUUAAAUUAUUUCCAUUUACCAUUAAUUCAUUAAGAGAUGUCAUGUUCCCGAUCUCUUUUGGUAAUGAUCCACUAAAUUUAUUUCCCCCGAGCAUCAACCUUAUCAAAUUAUCAAGCUGACCAAUCUCUUUUGGAAUGUGACCUGUCAUGUAUAAAGUCAUAAGAGUUUAAUUUAACUAUGAAAUAUAAUAAAUACUCCUUUCGUUUAUUAAUUACGACCUGUUUUGCCAUUUUGAUCCGUGCACCCAUUCUUAACUCAUUCCACUUUUAAUAAGCUUUUCACUUAUAAUAAAGUGAGCUCCCUAUUUCACAACACACACCCCAAUUUCUUAAAACUCGUGUCAUUAUAAAAUGGGUCAAAAAAUGAUGGAUGAAGGGAGUACUAUGAAAGACGACUAAUGGAUUAAUUGCAAAAAAAAAAAUCAUUAAUUUUGGCCUUAAAGACGAUUUAUUAAGUGAAAAUUUAAAAUGCUCGCAUCCACUAAAGUCUAUAUGAAAAAUACUCACUUUUAUAAAUAUAUGCAUUUUAUGUCCAAAUAAAUUGAAUUUUCCCAUAAUAUCUCAAUCUUAUUGUACUUGGGAGAUAAUACCUUAUACAUUCCUAGCAUGUUCCGAAAGAAAGAACAAUUUAACAACGAUCAAUCAAAAAUCUAUCUAGCCGACAAAUAGAUGAGAUGCCGCCCAGCGCCCGGAUCAUGAUAUAGCAUGGGGCUAUGUCAUUUAGCCUAUCUAGCUAGCCUCCCGGUCAAAUGAUUGGCCGUCAGACGGUUAGAUGAUCUAGUUGUCGGUUAGAUGGAGUUUGACCGAUUGUUAUUAAAUCGUUCACUUUUUCAUAUUUUUUUAUAUUAUUUAUGACACAAUUGUACUUGUGUAAGACUUUUUAUAAAACUCAAGCAAAGUCAUCAACAGGUAUUUAAGUUUGUUCCCUUAACUUGGGUUAGUUCCACCAUGCACCUAGGUGCAUGUACACUCCCCCGUUGAUCUUGCGACUACUAAUGUCUUUAGUACUAGUUAAAAUUAAAUUAAUUAAAUAAUAAAGUCACGUGUGCACCUGAAAAUGUAAUCACUCAAUCUUAAUAAACACAAAGAUGAAUAACACAGAACAAAUCAAGUAUUUAGAACAAAAUAUAAACCAAAGACAAAAGAAAAAUAGAGGCCAGAAUUGUGUCAUUCAAUGAAAAAAUAGUCAAUUCAACAACUCUUAUAAAUCCUACAAAAUUUAAAAAAACUACAUCCAAUAAAAGAAAGACUACAACUAAUUAAAAAGAAAGGAAAUAGACAAAUAAUAUGUAUGUAACUGGAAUAAAUAAGAGAGAUCGCUCACCCUCAGCUUUAGAUGCUUGACGCUGAUCAUGUAACUGCAAAGAAAAAGAAGUGAUGGUUAGAUCCGUAAACAACAUUUAAAGAAACACCAUCAAACUGCAGAGCACUCAACAGACUCUCACUUCGUCNUGCGGUAUUCGCCCCACGAGAGUAUUCAUUGAAACGUUAAAUUUCGACAGAAAUGUCAAUCUGGCCAGCUCACUCGGGAUUUCUCCACCCAAUCUAUUUGAUGACAAGUCCAACGAUUCAAGCAGACUUAUAUUUCCAAGAGAUGCAGGAAUCUGUCCCAUGAGAUUAUUGUGAGACAAAUUCAAGUAUCUCAGAGAAUUAAGAUUUCCUAUGGAAUCUGGAAUACUCCCAGAGAAUCUAUUGGAGGAUAAGUCAAUCGUUGUAAAGGUAUCCAACAAUCUCAGCAAUGUCUGAUCCAAACCUUUCAAAGUGAACUUCAACUCUAUAAAUCUUAGAAACACGUCCUGAUCAUCUGUCGUGUUUUCUUGGCAUCUAUCAUGCCCUGGAAAUUCUUGAAAUAUCUAUCAG
rnacentral:lncRNA from 1 species